GUUUAGAGGAAUGUUGUUUGGCUCGAGGUCAUGAAGAGUAAUUCUUUAACCAAAUAUAAGGCUCUAAAUGAUUCUCGGACCAGGCUUCAUUCCCCUCAAC
rnacentral:pre_miRNA from 1 species